rnacentral:lncRNA from 1 species
GGGAUUCCGGGGUCCCUGGAGCUGCAGAACCGACUCUGCCCUGGGCCGAGAGCUGCUCUCGCACCAAGGCCUCUGUCCUGCCCCCUGACUUCCCUGGAGCCCCUCAUCACUCCCUGGACACAGGCGGCAUGGACUGAGGGUGCUCUGCAACAGGGCCCCUGGGUUUGCUGCACCAGCAUCCUCAGCAGGUGCCUCUCACCUGCCUCCAGCUCAGAUCCCCAGGAUAACACGGUUGGUCCUGAGGAGACUCCCACCAAGAACCUGGGUAGCACCGAGACAACCAUGCCGCCCCAGUGGUUGGCCGGACAUGGAGACACUAACUGGGUCUUAAGGUACUUAGGACAAGAGCAAGAGAAGAUUACAUCUCAACACCGCACAGGGAAGGAUUGAAGCAAUCUCUUACACCCCAGGGAAGCAGAAAGAAGAACGUUAAAAAGGAAAGUAAAACUGCACAUGGCUCAAAACUUCAAAGAGUUCUGAACAUUUUCAAAUAAAAAGUGAAAGCCUUUCUCUUAUUUUCUAGGCUGGUUCAUCACUUCUUAGAUGUCCUUU